UCCCAGCAGCUCUCAGUUCUUUGAAUAUGACUUUGUGUCUCUGAGCUGUGAGGAGGACGACAGCUCUGCUGGAUGGACUCUGAGGAGAAACACAAGCAAACAACAGAGGACUCAGUGUGGAGAUGUGUGGGGAAGAGGGUCUGGUUCUUCAUGUAACAUCACUGUUUUCCCAUUGGACAGUGGAGUUUACUGGUGUGAGUCCAGAGAGGGUCCCAUCAGUAACAUGGUUAACCUGACAGUCACUGGUGGAUCAGUGAUCCUGCAGAGUCCUGUCCUCCCUGUGAUGGAG